AUUGAACGCUGGCGGCAGGCCUAACACAUGCAAGUCGAACGGUAACAGGAAGAAGCUUGCUUCUUUGCUGACGAGUGGCGGACGGGUGAGUAAUGUCCGGGAAACUGCCUGAUGGAGGGGGAUAACUACUGGAAACGGUAGCUAAUACCGCAUAACGUCGCAAGACCAAAGAGGGGGACCUUCGGGCCUCUUGCCAUCGGAUGUGCCCAGAUGGGAUUAGCUAGUAGGUGGGGUAACGGCACACCUAGGCGACGAUCCCUAGCUGGUCUGAGAGGAUGACCAGCCACACUGGAACUGAGACACGGUCCAGACUCCUACGGGAGGCAGCAGUGGGGAAUAUUGCACAAUGGGCGCAAGCCUGAUGCAGCCAUGCCGCGUGUAUGAAGAAGGCCUUCGGGUUGUAAAGUACUUUCAGCGGGGAGGAAGGGAGUAAAGUUAAUACCUUUGCUCAUUGACGUUACCCGCAGAAGAAGCACCGGCUAACUCCGUG
rnacentral:rRNA from 1 species